rnacentral:rRNA from 1 species
AACGAACGCUGGCGGCAGGCCUAACACAUGCAAGUCGAGCGCUCACCUUCGGGUGGGAGCGGCGCACGGGUGAGUAACACGUGGGAACCUACCUUGAAGUACGGAAUAACUGAGGGAAACUUCAGCUAAUACCGUAUACGCCCUACGGGGGAAAGAUUUAUCGCUUCAGGACGGGCCCGCGUUGGAUUAGCUGGUUGGUGAGGUAAUGGCUCACCAAGGCAACGAUCCAUAGCUGAUUUGAGAGAAUGAUCAGCCACACUGGGACUGAGACACGGCCCAGACUCCUACGGGAGGCAGCAGUGGGGAAUAUUGGACAAUGGGCGCAAGCCUGAUCCAGCCAUGCCGCGUGAGUGAUGAAGGCCUUCGGGUUGUAAAGCUCUUUCAGAUGGGACGAUGAUGACGGUACCAUCAGAAGAAGCCCCGGCUAACUUCGUGCCAGCCGCCGCAGUAAUAC